AGUGUUGGUGGAUAGUGUGUGUGGAAUGCACCACCUUUCCUUUGUAUCCAUGUAAGUUUCCUAAUGGUUGCUGCUGAGGAGGUCAUAUAAUCAUAAUAAGAACCAGAAGAUCCAGACACAAUGUUGAUUCCGAAAGAGGAAAGUGGGCCUAGAAGCAGCCGUGAGAUUACUGUCAUCUACAGGGGAGCGAUGAGAGAAUCAUCCCUAAUGAGAUUCGAAAAUGAUCUUCAAUAUUUAGAGAUUUUCCGGGCUGGGCAUAAUUGCAGUUGUCCAAAGCAAAGAUGAAGUUGGUUUUCCC